GAAGUCUAAGUGUAACCUAGACCAGGGG
rnacentral:sRNA from 1 species